rnacentral:rRNA from 1 species
GACAGGGGGGGCAAGCGUUGCUCGGAAUUACUGGGCGUAAAGGGCGCGUAGGCGGGAUGGCAAGUCGGUCGUGAAAUCCCUCGGCUCAACUGAGGAGCGUCGAUCGAAACUGCCGUUCUUGAGGGUUGCAGAGGAGACUGGAAUUCCCGGUGUAGCGGUGAAAUGUGUAGAGAUCGGGAGGAACACCGGUGGCGAAGGCGGGUCUCUGGGCAACUCCUGACGCUGAGGCGCGAAAGCGUGGGGAGCAAACGGG